CACACGCAGACUUUGGGGUGUUCCGGGAGAAAUCCGGAUCGUUCCGCCGGUGUCAGGUAUCUUUGGGUCCCUGUUCUACGGUCUGCGGAGGUUCAACCGGAAAAGGAGAAAA
rnacentral:sRNA from 1 species